rnacentral:rRNA from 1 species
AUCGAACGCUGGCGGCAGGCCUAACACAUGCAAGUCGAGCGGAGUGGCCGACGCGUGCGUAAUGCUUAGUAAUCUUCCUGGUAGUGGGGGAUAACGUCCGGAACUGGGCGCUAAUACCGCAUACUAUCAGUUUCGCCUAGGUCGGUUUAGGUAUUUGGUGGGGUAAAGGCCUACCAAGGCGACGAUCCGUAACUGGUCUGAGAGGAAGAUCAGUCACACGGGAACUGAGACAGGCUCCAGACUCCGAGGGCAGGCAGCAGUGGGGAGUAUUGGACAAUGGGGGAAAGCCGGAUGCAGCAAUUCCGCGGGUGUGAAGAAGGUCUUCGGAUUGUAAAGCACUUUAAGUUGGGAGGCGUUACCAACAGAAUAAGCACCGGCUAACUUCGGGCCAGCAGCCGCGGUAAUUC